UACGUAGGUGGCAAGCGUUGUCCGGAUUUACUGGGUGUAAAGGGCGUGCAGCCGGGCUGACAAGUCAGAUGUGAAAUCCCGCGGCUCAACCGCGGAACUGCAUUUGAAACUGUCAGUCUUGAGUACCGGAGAGGAGAGUGGAAUUCCUAGUGUAGCGGUGAAAUGCGUAGAUAUUAGGAGGAACACCAGUUGCGAAGGCGGCUCUCUGGACUGUAACUGACACUGAGGCACGAAAGCGUGGGGAGCAAACAGG
rnacentral:rRNA from 1 species